UACGUAGGGUCCGAGCGUUGUCCGGAAUUAUUGGGCGUAAAGCGCACGUAGGCGGCCUUGCAAGUCGGAUGUGAAAUCUUAUGGCUUAACCAUAAAAGUGCAUCCGAAACUGCAGUGCUUGAGUACUUAAGAGGAUCGCGGAAUUCCCGGUGUAGAGGUGAAAUUCGUAGAUAUCGGGAGGAACACCAGUGGCGAAGGCGGCGAUCUGGGAAGAUACUGACGCUGAGGUGCGAAAGCGUGGGGAGCAAACAGG
rnacentral:rRNA from 1 species